AUUGAACGCUGGCGGCAGGCCUAACACAUGCAAGUCGAACGAGUGGCGGACGGGUGAGUAAUAUAUCGGAACGUGCCCAGUAGCGGGGGAUAACUACUCGAAAGAGUGGCUAAUACCGCAUCCUAUUGGAGCGGCCGAUAUCGGAUUAGCUAGUUGGUGGGGUAAUGGCUCACCUAGGCGACGAUCCCUAGCUGGUCUGAGAGGAUGAUCAGCCACACUGGAACUGAGACACGGCCCAGACUCCUACGCGAGGCAGCAGUGGGGAAUAGUGCACAAUGGGCGCAAGCCUGAUGCAGCCAUGCCGCGUGUAUGAAGAAGGCCCUAGGGUUGUAAAGUACUUUCAGUCGGGAGGCGUUACCGACAGAAGAAGCACCGGCUAACUCCGUGCCAGCAGCCGCGGUAAUUC
rnacentral:rRNA from 1 species